rnacentral:misc_RNA from 1 species
UUAAGUUCAGCGGGUAUCCCUACCUGAUCCGAGGUCAAAGUAAAAAAAGGCUUGUGGAAGGGGGUCUGCUGAAAUCGCUUGCAAUGUGCUGCGCACGAAGCCAACAUACCGGCUGCCAAUGAAUUUAAGGCGAGUCCACGCGCUGAGGCGGAACAAACACCCAACACCAAGCAUAGCUUGAAGGUUUAAAUGACGCUCGA